GAUGAACGCUGGCGGCGUGCCUAAUACAUGCAAGUCGAGCGAACAGACGAGGAGCUUGCUCCUCUGAUGUUAGCGGCGGACGGGUGAGUAACACGUGGAUAACCUACCUAUAAGACUGGGAUAACUUCGGGAAACCGGAGCUAAAACCGGAUAAAAUGUGGAACCGCAUGGUUCAACAGUGAAAGGCGGUCUUGCUGUCACUUAUAGAUGGAUCCGCGCCGCAUUAGCUAGUUGGUAAGGUAACGGCUUACCAAGGCAACGAUGCGUAGCCGACCUGAGAGGGUGAUCGGCCACACUGGAACUGAGACACGGUCCAGACUCCUACGGGAGGCAGCAGUAGGGAAUCUUCCGCAAUGGGCGAAAGCCUGACGGAGCAACGCCGCGUGAGUGAAGAAGGUCUUCGGAUCGUAAAACUCUGUUAUUAGGGAAGAACAAAUGUGUAAGUAACUAUGCACGUCUUGACGGUACCUAAUCAGAAAGCCACGGCUAACUACGUG
rnacentral:rRNA from 1 species